rnacentral:rRNA from 1 species
UGAGGAAUAUUGGACAAUGGGUGAAAACCUGAUCCAGCCAUGCCGCGUGCAGGAAGACGGCCCUAUGGGUUGUAAACUGCUUUUGUAUGGGAGCAAUAAGCUCUACGUGUAGAGUGAUGAGAGUACCAUACGAAUAAGCAUCGGCUAACUCCGUGCCAGCAGCCGCGGUAAUACGUAGGGAGCGAGCGUUGUCCGGAAUUACUGGGUGUAAAGGGAGCGUAGGCGGGAAGGUAAGUUGGGCGUGAAAGCUAUUGGCUCAACCAAUAGAUUGCACUCAAAACUACUUUUCUUGAGUGAAGUAGAGGCAGGCGGAAUUCCUAGUGUAGCGGUGAAAUGCGUAGAUAUUACGAAGAACUCCAAUUGCGAAGGCAGCUUGCUGGACUGUAACUGACGCUGAUGCUCGAAAGUGUGGGUAUCAAACA